CCUACGGGGGCAGCAGUGGGGGAUAUUGCGCAAUGGGGGCAACCCUGACGCAGCAAUGCCGCGUGAAGGAUGAAGGUUUUCGGAUUGUAAACUUCUUUUAUUAAGGACGAACAAUGACGGUACUUAAUGAAUAGGCUCCGGCUAACUACGUGCCAGCAGCCGCGGUAAUACGUAGGGAGCAAGCGUUGUCCGGAUUUACUG
rnacentral:rRNA from 1 species